CAAAGAUACGAGUUGUUUGGGAGGGCCUGGUGGAAAAAGACAGAAUUAGGUGACUUUUUACGUGCCAGAGGAGUCCCCGAAGAUGCCAUUUCAUCAAUAAAAGAGCAGAAUAUUGACUGUGAUGUCAUAGCGCUGAUGGAUGAUGCAACUCUGGCAGAUUACAUCCCCUCCUAUGGAGACCGAAUUGCCCUCUUCAAUUUCUGCAGCAGCAAACAACAACCCUCAAAAAAAAAAAAUCAAGGACUUCUGCAAAGGC